rnacentral:rRNA from 1 species
UGGUUCAAACAUAAAAGGUGGCUUCGGCUACCACUUACAGAUGGACCCGCGGCGCAUUAGCUAGUUGGUGAGGUAACGGCUCACCAAGGCAACGAUGCGUAGCCGACCUGAGAGGGUGAUCGGCCACACUGGGACUGAGACACGGCCCAGACUCCUACGGGAGGCAGCAGUAGGGAAUCUUCCGCAAUGGACGAAAGUCUGACGGAGCAACGCCGCGUGAGUGAUGAAGGUUUUCGGAUCGUAAAGCUCUGUUGUUAGGGAAGAACAAGUACCGUUCGAAUAGGGCGGUACCUUGACGGUACCUAACCAGAAAGCCACGGCUAACUACGUGCCAGCAGCCGCGGUAAUACGUAGGUGGCAAGCGUUGUCCGGAAUUAUUGGGCGUAAAGGGCUCGCAGGCGGUUUCUUAAGUCUGAUGUGAAAGCCCCCGGCUCAACCGGGGAGGGUCAUUGGAAACUGGGGAACUUGAGUGCAGAAGAGGAGAGUGGAAUUCCACGUGUAGCGGUGAAAUGCGUAGAGAUGUGGAGGAACACCAGUGGCGAAGGCGACUCUCUGGUCUGUAACUGACGCUGAGGAGCGAAAGCGUGGGGAGCGAACAGGAUUAGAUACCCUGGUAGUCCACGCCGUAAACGAUGAGUGCUAAGUGUUNNGGGUUUCCGCCCCUUAGUGCUGCAGCUAACGCAUUAAGCACUCCGCCUGGGGAGUACGGUCGCAAGACUG